rnacentral:tRNA from 1 species
AGCAGUGUGGCUUAUUGGAAAGAGUCCGGGCCCGGGAGUCAGAGGACCUGGGUUCUAAUCCCAGCUCUGCCA